rnacentral:lncRNA from 7 species
AAAGCAGGGCAGCCAGCAGGACCUGAAAAGGUUUCAAAGUCUGCUCGGAACAAAAAGCUGAGUGUCUCGUUUUGUUGUUUUCGCAGGAGAAAAAGAGAGCGGCCGCACUGAGAGAAAGCCGAGAGCUCUUUUGUUCGUCCCCGAGCCAUCCCGCAUGAAAGAAACCAGAGUGGACACAACGUCCUUCACCGGCUGGAAACACAGCAGGACGCUGUGUUCUGCUUAUGAGGGCAUAUGCAGAAAAUACCUCAUCACUGCUCCAGUGUGACGAGUUCUGGGGAGCUCAGUUUAGCCCUGAAACCUGUUUACUUCCCUUCGAAAACCACUGCCCAGCUCGGCUGGGUUUGGCAGCAGCAGUGGGGCUGCGGGAGGACCCGGGGCUGCUCCGUGCCUGUGGGCUCAGGCAAGGUGGGACGUGGUCAGCCCCAAAAUAGCAGCGGGGCUGUGGGUGAGCGCUGUGACUUUCCAUCCCCUGCCCAGCCUGGGGCUGCCUCCUUCUCUUGGGACCUUCUGCUAAAAUUAACAGUGCUGCCCCAUGCCCUGCACUGCUCUAUCGGCAGCUGUCUGAGGGGGUGGAAAGCACACUUAAAAAAAAUAGAUGUGUUAGAU